rnacentral:antisense_RNA from 1 species
CUUGAUCGAGCCGAUCCGCAGCGGCUCGCGCUCCCCACGGUCCUGGCCGUAGGCGGCGAUCAGGGCGUUGGCCUC